rnacentral:lncRNA from 1 species
CUAUGUCUAUGAGGUCAUGAAGAGUUGGAUAUGACUGAACAACUCAGAGCAAUGACUUCAAAGUUCCAAUGAAGUAUUCAAUGACUUCAUUAAUGUAUGAGAUACUCAAGAAGUUGGAGUAGAGAAAAUGAGGAGUGAAGUGGAUGGUGGAGAGGGGAGUUAUAUCCAACAAAAUGUGCCCUUGAACUGUGUACUCAUAGAUUUGGAACUAGAAUGGCCCUUUCUGCUCAUUUCAUCUGAGCUCCCCACUUUAUAAGAUGAGGAUAUUGAACUUUAGAAAUAUUACUCAGUCAUUACUCACUCAGAGGUGUAGGUUACAUGGAGUUCCAGUGUGUCUGAAGGACACUCCUCAGUGUUAUGGCAAGAAAGUUCUGCAUACUGGUAACACUAGCUCAGUUUAUUUGCCUGCAUCUUUUGGGUAACAAUUAGACAAGGGGUCAGGAUAAAUAUUUUGAAUCCUGGCUCAGCUCAUUUGGGGCAACCUGGACAAGUCUGGAUCCUUCUGUGGUCUCCUGGAGUUCCCUCACUUAUAAAACAGGAUUAAUGAUAACAGUCUACCCAUUACAAAGGGUUAUUGAGAAAAUCAAAUGGCAUGACCAUGUGAAAAACAGAUUUUCUUCCCUGGAACAGCCUCCCUCACAUCGUGGGGAGCACCCUCAAUAGUGAAAUGGGAGCCCCAGGGCUUUGGUAGCUUUGGUAGCUUUGGAUGCUGCCACAGGAAGGAAGUGAAACCUGGCAGCCACCUGCAGAGGCUUCUUAAUGCAAACUUUUAUUGGCUGUACCGCCUUUCCUGACAUUGCUGCUGACACUGUCUUCAUCAACAUUCAUCUGUGAUUGUCAUCGCCUCCACGGUGAUAAAUCCUGCACAGGUACCCAAGGGUGUUCAGAAUACAACCAAUUUUCUCUGGGUUUCAUUCCCCCACAACUCUCCACACCACUGGACUGCAAAACCUAAUUGGGCUAUUGUCUGCUUCCCAAAACAAACUCAUUUUUCUCCACCGAACCAUCAGAGAUGCUGUCAAUCAACAUGAAACAUGUCAGAUUUUGAAAGGGGGUGGCAAGGCCUGUAAUCUCACAAGCAUUCCCAUGUAAACAAGUUCACCAUCAUUUGGGGAAUUAAAGAAAAUCACCUGCAUAUUUGAGUCUUUUUUUCCAU